GCAGUCGAGCGAUAUCCUUGGAGCUUGCUCCUGGAAAGAGGAGCGCGGGAGCGUGAGUAAUGGUGGCAAACUGCCUGAUGGAGGGGGAUAACUACUGUAAACGGUAGCUACUACCGCAUACCCUCUCCAGACCUGAAAGGGGGACCUUCGGGCCUCUUGCCAUCAUAUGUGUCCAUAUGGUAUUAUCUAUGGGGGGGGGAAACGGCUCCCCUACGCGACUAUCCCUAGCUGGUCUGAGAGGAUGACCCCCCACUGUGGCUCUGACACACGCCCCACACUCCCACGGGGGGCAGCAGAGGGGAAUAUUGCACAGUGGGCGCCUCCCUGAUGCCCCCGUGCCGCGCGUAUGAACAAGGCCUUGGGGUUGUAAAUGACUUUCUUCGGUGAAGAGGAAGGUGUUGAGGUUAAUAACCUCUGGAAUGUUGACGUUACCCGCAGAUGAAAGCACCGGCUAAUCUCCGUGCCGCAGCCGCGCGGAUAAUCCGCAGGGCUGCAAGCGUUAUGUCGGAAUUACUGGGGGUAAAGCGGGUCACGGUCAUUUUUACUGUCGGGUCGAAUGUCGAAAUCCCCGGGCUCAACCUGGGAACUGAAUUUUGAAAAUCGUUGGGCUAAACUUCUUGUAGAGGGGGGUAGAAUUCCAGGGGUUAAAAUUGCAGAAAUAUGCGGUGAAAUAGCGUAGAAAUCUGGAGGAAUACCGGUGGCGAAGGCGGCCCCCUGGCACAAAGACUAACGUUCAGGUGAGAAAGCGUGGGGAGCAAACAGGAUUAGAUCACGAUGUAGUACACUCGGUAAACGAUGUCUACUUGAAGAUUGUUCCCUUGAGGCGUGGCUUCCGGAGCUAACGAGUGAAGUCGUCCGCUUUUGGAGUACGGGAGCAAGGUUAAAAUWCAAAUGAAUUGACGGGGGCCCGCACAAGCGGUCGAGCAUAUGGUUUAAUUCGAUGCAACGCGAAGAACCUUACCUCCUCUUGACAUCCAGAGAACUUAGCAGAUCAUUUAUUGGUGCCUUCGGGAACUCUGAGACAGGUGCUGCAUGGCUGUUGUCAGCUUCAGUUGUGAAAUGUUGGGUUAAGUCCCGCAACGAGCGCGCCCUUAUCCUUUAUUGCCAGCGGUCAGCCCGGGAACUCAAAGGAGACUGCCAGUGAUAAACUGGAGGAAGGUGGGGAUGAGGUCAAGUCAUCAUGGCCCUUACGAGUAGGGCUACACACGUGCUACAAUGGCGCAUACAAAGAGAAGCGACCUCGCGAGAGCAAGCGGACCUCAUAAAGUGCGUCGUACUCCGGAUUGGAGUAUGCAACUCGACUCCAUGAAGUCGGAA
rnacentral:rRNA from 1 species